ensembl:lncRNA
GUAAUGGGGUUGUGGGGUGUCUGGGGGGCACUGUGGGGUCUCUAUGGGGCUUAAUGGGGUCUCUGUGGGGCUUUAUGGGGUCCCUAUGGGUCUUAAUGGGGCCACUGUGGGUCUUAUGGGGCACUAAGGGGGCUCUGUGGGGCACUGUGGGGUCUCUAUGGGUCUCUAUGGGGCACUGUGGGGUCUCUAUGGGUCUUAUGGGGCUCUAUGGGGUCCCUAUGGGGCAAUGUGGGGUCUCUAUGGGGCUCUGUGGGGUCUCUGUGGGGCUUUAUGGGGUCUCUAUGGGGCACUGUGGGGUCUCUAUGGGGUCUCUAUGGGGCUUUAUGGGGUCCCUAUGGGGCUUAAUGGGGCCACUGUGGGUCUUAUGGGGCUUUAUGGGGACUCUGUGGGGCACUAUGGGGUCCCUAUGGGGCUUUAAGGGGUCUCUAUGGGGUCUCUGUGGGGUCAAUAUGGGGGCACUGUGGGGUCUCUAUGGGGCUUUAUGGGGUCUCUAUGGGGCACUGUGGGGUCUCUAUGGGUCUUAUGGGGCUCUAUGGGGUCCCUAUGGGGCAUGUGGGGUCUCUAUGGGGCUCUGUGGGGUCUCUGUGGGGUCUCUAUGGGGCUUUAUGGGGCCACUGUGGGUCUUAUGGGGCUUUAUGGGGACUCUGUGGGGCACUGUGGGGUCUCUGUGGGGCUCUAUGGGGGCAUUGUGGGGUCUCUGUGGGGCUCUGUGGGGCUCUGUGGGGUCUCUAUGGGGCCUCUAUGGGGCUUUAUGGGGUCCCUAUGGGGCUUAAUGGGGUCACUGUGGGGCUUUAUGGGGUCUCUAUGAGUCUUAUGGGGCACUAUGGGUCUUAUGGGGCUUUAUGGGGUCUCUAUGGGGCACUGUGGGGUCUCUAUGGGGCUCUGUGGGGUCUCUAUGGGGUCUCUGUGGGGCUUUAUGGGGUCUCUGUGGGGCACUGUGGGGUCUCUAUGGGGUCUCUAUGGGGCAUUAUGGGGUCUCUAUGGGGCUCUAUGGGGUCCCUAUGGGGGCACUGUGGGGUCUCUGUGGGUCUUAUGGGGCUCUAUGGGGUCCCUAUGGGGCAAUGUGGGGUCCCUGUGGGGCACUGUGGGGUCUCUAUGGGGUCUCUAUGGGGCUUUAUGGGGCCACUGUGGGUCUUAUGGGGCUUUAUGGGGACUCUGUGGGGCACUGUGGGGUCUCUAUGGGGCUCUAUGGGGUAUCUAUGGGGUCUCUAUGGGGUCACUAUGGGGGCACUGUGGGGUCUCUGUGGGGCUUUAUGGGGUCCCUAUGGGGCUUAAUGGAGUCUCUGUGGGGCUUUAUGGGGAAUCUAUGGGGUCUCUGUGGGGCUUUAUGGGGUCUCUAUGGGGCACUGUGGGAUCUCUAUGGGGUCUCUAUGGGGCUUUAUGGGGCCACUGUGGGUCUUAUGGGGCUUUAUGGGGACUCUGUGGGGCACUGUGGGGUCUCUAUGGGGCUCUAUGGGGACAUUGUGGGGUCUCUGUGGGGCUCUGUGGGGCUCUGUGGGGUCUCUAUGGGGUCUCUAUGGGGCUCUAUGGGGUCUCUAUGGGGUCUCUGUGGGGUCAAUAUAGGGUCUCUAUGGGGUCUCUAUGGGGCAUUAUGGGGUCUCUGUGGGUCUUAUGGGGCCGUAUGGGGUCUCUAUGGGGCUCUGUGCGGUCACUAUGGGGUCCGGUGGGGCUUUAUGGGGUCUCUAUGGGCCUUAUGGGGCACUAUGGGGUCUCUAUGGGGCUCUGUGGGGGCACUGUGUGGUCCCUAUGGGGCACUAUGGGGUCUCUAUGGGGUCUCUAUGUGGCUCUAUGGGGUCCCUAUGGGGCACUAUGGGGUCCCUAUGGGGCUCUGUGGGGUCACUUUGGGGUCUCUGUGGGGCACUAUGGGGUCUCUAUGAGUCUUAUGGGGCAUUAUGGGGUCUCUAUGGGGCAAUGUGGGGUCUCUAUGGGGCUCUAUGGGGUCCCUAUGGGGCAUUAUGGGGUCUCUAUGGGGGUCUCUGUGGGGCUCUAUGGGGUCUCUAUGGGGUCUCUGUGGGGCUUUAUGGGGUUUCUAUGGGUCUUAUGGGGCACUAUGGGGGCUCUGUGGGGCACUGUGAGGUCUCUAUGGGGUCUCUAUGUGGUCUCUAUGGGGCACUAUGGGGUCACUGUGGGGUCUCUAUGGGGCUUUAUGGGGUCCCUAUGGGGCCUAAGGGGUCACUGUGGGUCUUAUGGGGCUUUAUAGGGUCUCUAUGGGGUCUCUGUGGGGCUUUAUGGGGUCUCUAUGGGUCUUAAGGGGCACUAUGGGGGCUCUGUGGGGCCUCUAUGGGGUCUAUGGGGUCUCUGUGGGGCUUUAUGGGGUCUCUAUGGGUCUUAUGGGGAACUAUGGGGUCUCUAUGGGGCUCUAUGGGGUCUCUAUGGGUCUUAUGGGGCUUUCUGGGGUCACUGUGGGGCUUUAUGGGUUUCUAUGGGUCUUAUGGGGCACUAUGGGGUCACUGUGGGGUCUCCAUAGAGCACUAUGGGGGCACUGUAGGGUCUUAUGGGGCACUAUGGGGUCUCUAUGGGGCACUAUGGGGUCAUUAUGGGGUCUCUGUGGGGCUUUAUGGGGUCUCUGUGGGGCUCUGUGGUGUUUCUAUGGGGCUUUAUGGGGUCUCUACGGGGUGCUGUGGGUUCUCUAUGGGCACUAUGGGGCACUAUGGGGUCACUAUGGGGUCUCUGUGGGUCCCUAUGGGUCUCUAUGGGUCUCUAUGGGGUCUCUGUGCAUCUCUAUGCGGUCUUAUGGGGUCUCUGCGGGUCCAUAUGGGUCCCUAUGGGAUCCCAAUGGUCUCUAUGGGUCUCUAUGGGGUCUCCAUGGGGUCUUUAUGGGGUCUCCAUGGGUCACUAU